CACGGAAGUUGCGGCUGCCGAGACCUCGUGGCGCAACGGUAGCGCGUCUGACUCCAGAUCAGAAGGCUGCGUGUUCGAAUCACGUCGGGGUCACGGCUCCCUUCGGGGAUCACUUUUUCGCGGCACUUGGGCAGCCUCGGAGGGAGCUUUGGCAACAGGCUUGGAGAGGAUAAACCACACGGAACCACCAGCAACUGGAGCUUGUGACAAUGCUGGUCUCCUGUAGUGCUAUGGGAAGUGCUGCCUUUCUUCUUGCUCCUGUGACACUUCCAACUUUCGCUCUUCCAGGAGAAGGAUUUUUCUACAUCUAAGGGAAAUUCCUUUCCAGUUGACUUCACCACUGGAAGUUACUACAUCAGCUGCUAACACCGAACUGUGGAGCCCUGACAAUGCUGCUCUUUGAUUUGUGGACUCGACAUGGCUUUUCCCUUCUUGAACUCCUGGAGUAACCUUUGAAACAAAAGACUUCAAAGUGACAGCAGCCUGUGCCUCUGGCGAUACUGAAGUAGCACAGAUAUUGCCAGAGGAUGAGUUGCUGAUGGACCAGAUGCAGGGACAGCAGGGAUCAGCUGGCAGCAGGGCCCACGGCACUCCCAAGGCUUUCUGUAGGAUAAAGAGACACCCCAGGAUGGGCAGCAGCUGGGGCUGGAGAUGGCUGGAGAAUGGAAGCUACAGAAGACAAGAUGUGGUUACACAGGCUGCUCUUGUCUCUUAUCACUGCCUGCUCCAUGAAUGAUUAACCCUCGCUUCCUUUGAAGACCAGAGAACAAAACACCGCCGUUCCAGGUCCCUGCUCUUGCUCAGGCAUUCAGCUCCUCCUCAGAGCUAGACACAGUUUGUGGACAACCCAAAGCACUUUGGACCCUGCACUGGAAUAUAUUGACUCUUGUUGGACCAGUCAGGAAGGGAGAUGUGAUCUUCCACUGUCACAGACACUCUCUUUGUGAACACUGAAGAGAUGCAGCCUGUGAUAGCAGCAAACCUCUGCUUUGUUUCUGUGUUGUGGUACCCCUGCAUGGCCGUGAGCUGUUCCCAGCCCUGCUGUAUCUUGCGUAAACGCUCUUCCUGGGAACAAACAGCUCUUUGUAUAUAUGGACUUAUGUUUUGCUUUUAUAGAAGCCUGCAAAGCCAGAUGCGUCCAUCAUCUCACAGACAGCUUAAAGCUCUUCCAUGCUGCUGCAGCUCGCUGUAGCUGAUAUGAACGUUACUGUGCAUGAGGGGGGCUUGGGUUUUGGUUGGGUUUGUAUAUUCCCCAGCAACUGUCUCUUCAAAGUGCCUCUCUGUCCUGAAAUGAUGUCUCUCUGAGUCUGUCAAAUGGGCAGACACAGCUGGUGCACUUCUCCCCCUGGGUUAAACACUCUGCCUGAGAGCUCCCGAAGCUCUUGGCUGCUGUCUCCACACAUUAAGGUGACUGUCUGUGCUGUAACCAGCUCAGAGCCCUGCAGGAGGGAGAAUUAAUGAAUUAACUACUUAAUUAACUGUCAGAUUGCCAAAUCUCUGCAAGAAAUGACAGGGGAGAGGCCCAAGUGCUGGCUCUGGUUCCCCUGCAUUGCUCUCUUCCAUGGUGAGCAGUGCCAGGGGAGCUGUGUGCUUGACCCACUCUUGGAACAGAGAGAUGAAUGGGCAGGUCUUGGUCCUCUUGCAUGUGUUUUCCCCCUUUAUCUACACGAUCCUGAUCUCUUCUGAAAGAAAAAUCUUUUACUGAAAAGCUGCUGAGUGUGCUUUUUAAUCCUUUCUCCCUAUUUUCUUAGCUCCUGGCCUGCUAACUUGCAGUUCAAUGUGCCCUUCCCAAGCACUUGGAUGUGGUCUGGUUGAGUGCUCAUUGGAUUGAGCUGGCUCAGCCUGAAGGGAUGCAGAGCAGGAGAUUCCACCAUCCCUGGGCUGCCUGUUCCAGUGCUCUGCCACCCUUAAAGUGAAGAAGUUCUUCCACAUACUCGGAUGGAACUUGCUGUAUUUCAGUUUGUGCCUGUUGCCCUUUACCCUGCUGCUGGAAGAUGUUUAUUCGCCGUGUUUGGCUUGUGGCAUUCACAGGAAUUCCUGCACCUCUCCUGCUGUUCCCAUGGAAACAGAUGUGGAAUUGCAGGAAACUGCUACAGGUAUUCUGAGAGGUCUCCUUAGUGGCAAGCAACACACUGCAAGGAAAGGAUGCAAUCAGGAGGAGGUGUUGACAUGGUGCAGACUGCUCCUCGUGGGAAGAUGAAGCUGCCUGCGCUGAGCUAAGAAGUGAUGCAGGGUUUUUGGAGUUACUUUGGUUUGUUUUCAAUAAGGUGAAUUAAAUGCUUAUGAAAAUGAAA